UACUGAGUGGCAGACGGGUGAGUAACAUGUGGGAAUCUGCCUUGUGGUUCAGGACAACAUUGGGAAACCGAUGCUAAUACUGGAUAAGCCCUUACGGGGAAAGUUUUAAUGCCAUAAGAUGAGCCCGCAUUUGAUUAGUUAGUUGGUGAGGUAAUGGCUCACCAAGACAAUGAUCAAUAGCUGAUCUGAGAGGAUGAUCAGCCACACUGGGACUGAGACACGGCCCAGACUCCUACGGGAGGCAGCAGUGGGGAAUCUUGCACAAUGGAGGAAACUCUGAUGCAGCGAUGCCGCGUGAGUGAAGAAGGCCUUUGGGUUGUAAAGCUCUUUUGUAGGGGAAGAUAAUGACUGUACCCUAAGAAUAAGGUCCGGCUAACUUCGUGCCAGCAGCCGCGGUAAUACGAAGGGACCUAGCGUAGUUCGGAAUUACUGGGCGUAAAGCGCGCGUAGGCCGUUGAGUUAGUUAAUUGUGAAAUC
rnacentral:rRNA from 1 species